rnacentral:lncRNA from 1 species
CAGCCAACUUUAAUGGAGGACCUAGCAAGUGCCAGGCAGCAUUCUGAGCCCUGGAAUCCGGUGAUGAACAUGACAGACAAGAUUCCUGCCCCCAAGGAGCUGCACCUUAAUAAGUCCCGCAAUGAAGGAGACAGAACAUAAACAGAGGAAAAUACACAAGAUGCCAGCUUGUGAGAAGUGCUAGCAAAAAAAGACACAAGUAUGUCCAGAGAGUCUGAGGUGUAUACAGAUGGGGAAACUGAUGUUGAGAGAAGUUGAGUCACUUGUCCAAGGUCACACAGCAGGGUGAGGGUGGCCUCACACUGGUGUGUCCCAAAGGGCAUCUGGUGUCCAGUGUUGUUCUCUUGGUAGAGGUGAUGAGGCCUAAUGAAGCCAAGAAAGAUAAGUGGAUGUUUUCCUGGUGGGCAAUGGUCAAGGGAAGUGAAGGGAGCCCGGUGAGCAAAGCUGCUGUGUGUGAAACUGCCUGGUGUGGUCCAGGAGCUCAGUGUAGCCUGGGCCAAGCAUAUGAGCUGGGAGGGAAGGGUGGAGGGCCGGAUCCAGAGGGAGAGUGGGUUCUUGGUUAUGGAGCCACGGCAGGUGCGAGGCUGGGGAGGGACACUGGUAGGCUCCCGUUGAAACUCAGCCAUCUAGAGCCCAUUUUCCCGUAGGCCUCCAGCUCCUCAGCUGCAGGAAGGAGGCUGUAUGGAGUUCAGAGCACAGGCUCUUCAAUCGGACGGCACAGCCUGGAUACGUGGUGGGCUUAGCAAUUUGCUCUUGUGAGAUACAAUGCGAUUUCUCAGUAAAUUCUGCAUCUCAGCUUUGGCUUCAUCUGUGUCUGAGUCUCCAUCUCAUGCAGCUAGCUUAUCAUAGAUCAGUACAUUCACAGCAUUUAUUCGAUCCUUUACAAAAACAACAGCCCGGGUUCAAAUCCCAGCUCCACCACUUCCUCCCUGUGAGGCCCUGGGGAAGUAACAUAUCCACUCGGUACCUCUUGUAAAAUGGAGGUGGCAGUGACUUUUAUUUUUUAUUUAUUUAUUUUUAGACAGAGUUUCACUCUGUCACUCAGGCUGGAGUGCAGUGGUAUGAUCUCAGCUCACUGCAACCUCCACCUCCCGAGUUCAAGUGAUUCUCAUGACUCAGCCUCCUGAGUAGCUGGGAUCACAGGCAUGUGCUACCACACCUGGCUAAUUGUUUGUAUUUUUAGUGGCAACGGGGUUUCGCCAUGUUGGCUAGGCUGGUCUCGAACUCCUGUCCUUAAGCAAUCUUCUUGCCUUGGCCUCCCAAAGUGCUGGGAUUGCAGGCAUGAGUCACCACGCCCAGAUAGCAGUGAUUUUUCAAUGAAGUAAUAUACACGUGAUGUGGAGAACUUUUCUGGCACAGAGUAGGCACGCAGCAGGGACCACGUGCUAUCCUUGGGGGCAUCUGACCAGUCCCUACAGGCCAGUGUCACUCCCAGGCAAGUGCAACUGUUUACUGAAGGCAGCAUCGCUAGCGAAGGCAGGACCUGGAGAGGGCAGGAUCCCCGGUGAAGUCAGGUCCUGAGUUUUCCAGUGAACUCAGUGCCUUCCAUUCAGUGGGCGGCCGCUGGCCCAGAUGGAGCCGGGGGUGGAUUCUUGAGCUUGGUUCACCAAGAGAGGAGGGUACUGCACAAUCUCGGGAGCCAACCACAUUUUUUUUUUUUUUGUACAGCUCAUUUCACCAAUGAAAAGGCACUGGCAACAUCUCCUAUGCAGAUUAGCCGCAGCCUCCGGUGCCGAUUUAGCAAAGCCAUGAUUGACCAGAUCCGAGGCUCGCUGCCCUGUGGAGCUGCUUCCUAAUUAUGUUACUUCAAGCACCCAUCCCCAGGGUGCAGGUUAAAGUUAACCAGCACACUAAUGUACAUCAAGCAGUGUAGGCGGAGGCGCAGUUCUGAAGACAGUCACCAAUACGCGGCAAAUACCUAUUGUGAGAUCCAUCACCUGCUGGAUGGGCCUGCUCCCUCUACCACUCCCCUCCCACCUGCGCCUGGGUUGGGGAACUGGCCCCUUGCUAACUAGUCUAAUCCCCUUCAGUUGGUCACAAGCCCUGUGGAGGUGGGAAGGAGACAGGACUGGGAAGGCAGUGAGGGAGGGCACGAUGUGACUUCAGGGACAGCAGGAGCCUGAGUCUGGAGUUUGGGCUGCCCUAAUUUGCUGUGUGACCUUGAAAGCCCCUUCCCCUUUUAAGAAUGGGCUCAUCUCUUUUCUAAAGAAGACAUUCCAUGGGAGAGGUGGUGCCAUGGGAGUGUCACCUGGGAGGCUGCAGGCCUGCCCUAGGGCCCAGUCAUUCUGGAGGAAGCCCUUGUGGGCUAGGAGACGGCAGGCUCCGCCUCUGACCUAUUGGUUUCCCUCUGUCUGCCACUGUCCAGAGAUCAGAAUCCUGGGUCCUCUGGCACGGGCAUCCACUCUCACCAAGACAGACAGGAUGGAGCCUCUUCCUUAGGGCCUUGAGGCUUCACCACAGUCGUUGCAGUCUGGGGACUAUUGAACCAGACUGACUCUGGUCCUGGAGGGUGACCGUGGACAUCGACCCUCCCUGAACCUGAGUUCUCAUCAAUGGGAUGGAAAGAUCAAUAUGCCUGUCCUAGAUUUCUCAAAGGGCCGGUGUGGUGCUCAGUUGAGAGGUGCAUGUGCAGGACAGCGUGGGCAGCAAUAGGUGGGGGUG